CGGGACGGGUGAGUAAUGUCUGGGAAACUGCCCGAUGGAGGGGGAUAACUACUGGAAACGGUAGCUAAUACCGCAUAAUGUCUGCGGACCAAAGCGGGGGACCUCCGGGCCUCGCGCCAUCAGAUGAACCCAUAUGGGAUUAGCUAGUAGGUAAGGUAACGGCUUACCUAGGCGACGAUCCCUAGCUGGUCUGAGAGGAUGAUCAGCCACACUGGAACUGAGACACGGUCCAG
rnacentral:rRNA from 1 species